rnacentral:rRNA from 1 species
UACGAAGGGGGCUAGCGUUGUUCGGAAUUACUGGGCGUAAAGCGCACGUAGGCGGUUUGUUAAGUCAGGGGUGAAAUCCCGGAGCUCAACUCCGGAACUGCCUUUGAUACUGGCAAGCUAGAGUCCGGAAGAGGUAAGUGGAACUCCUAGUGUAGAGGUGGAAUUCGUAGAUAUUAGGAAGAACACCAGUGGCGAAGGCGGCUUACUGGUCCGGAACUGACGCUGAGGUGCGAAAGCGUGGGGAGCAAACAGG